CUCGAAGUCCAGGUAGAGCAGGAAGGCGUCGAGGAAUUCCCGCAGCGCUUCCCGGGGCACCCCGGGGGGGCUCGGGGACGGCUCCGGGGUGGGGACCCUCAGGUUGAGGCGGUGCCGGGGGUGGUAACGGGGCGGUAAACCGAGGCGGCGGGAGGGCGGCCGGUCCUUGUCAUCAUCAUCAUCAUCAUCAUCAUCAUCAUCAUCAUCGUCGUCCCGUGAUGGUUCCCGCUCCGGGCGGCGGCUCUGGAAGCGGCGCAGGCGCUCGAAGAAGGCCCAGAAGCUGCGGGUGUCCUCGGGGCAGGCCCGGCGGGGGAAGCAGAGCUCCUCCAGCCUGCGCCGAGCCACCGGGCAGGCCCAGUCCCACCGGGACGGCCGCGGGGCUGCAGCACCGGGAGCCGGGCCCGGCUCCGGUUCCAUCACCGGGACCGAAGCCUCCGGGCCUCAGGGCCUGGGCCUGGUUCUCUGAGGCCUCAGCCAAGCCAGGGCCCGGUCCCGGCACCCCCAAGGCCUCGCUCCCGGUCCCGGUCCCGGUCCCGGUCCCAGCCCCUCCAGGCCCGGUCUCGGCCCCCCCAGGCCCCGCUCCCGGUCCCGGUCCCGGUUCCGGUUCCGGUCCCGGUUCCGGUUUCCGGUUCCGGUUCCGGUUCCGGUUCCGGUCCCGGCCCCUCCAGGCCGCACGGGGGCGCCCGAGCCCCGCCGCGGAGGGAGGAAGGGGGCGUGGCCACGAGCGGGGGGCGUGGCUUGGAGGAGGGGGGCGUGGUUAUUGGAGAGGGGGCGUGGUCAUGUGGGAAAGGGGCGGGGCGAUGAGGGAGGGGGCGGGGCGAGGAGGGAGGGGGCGGGGCUUCUCGGCCGCGGGUGGCAGCGAGAGCGGCGCUGUCCCCAAAUGUCCCCAAAUGUCCCCAAAUGUCCCCAAAUGUCCCCAAAUGUCCCCAAAUAUCCUCAAAUGUCCCCAUUGUCCCCAAACCACCCCCAUUCCCCAAAUGUCCCCAAAUAUCCCCAAAUAUCCCCAAAUGUCCCCAUUGUCCCCAGUUGUCCCCAACUGUCCCCAUUGUCCCCCAGCCACCCCCAUUCCCCAAAUGUCCCCA
rnacentral:lncRNA from 1 species